UCUUGAGAAAGCAACAUGAAAAGUGUAACACCUGGAGCCUGUUCCCUGGUCGGACUGCCAGAUGACUGCAUCUGUCACCAUGAAAUGGGUCGGAGGAAGGAGAAGUGGUGGGGGCCGCAGCGAAUCCCAGUCUUCAGUCGUCACGUAAAGGUAGGAUGGUUAACACCCUGCGCGCCCUACAUUCAGAGCUACGUACAGAAACAAAAUAGCCAUUCACACUAACAUUCACACCUAUGGUUAACUUAGAGUGAACAAUUUGCUUCAAUUUGCCUGCAUGAUGUUGGACUGUGGUGAGAACCCCAGUCUCAGUUCUGCCAGGGAAUCCUCCUCCAUGUGGCCGUCAGUUGUAAUCAUUCAGUUUCAUCGGUUCUUCUGUUGCUGUUUCUUGAUUAGGUCUACUGUGUGUGUGUGUGUGUGUGUGAUGGUGUCAUCUCUGCGGAGCUGUUUUCCUUCCCAGCUGGUUGGCAGAAUCCAACACGUAAUUGUUUGAUGAAAGGAACCUCAAUUAGGAUGAGGCAUGUGGACCCUAAUGUUAACAUUUGUGUUCUGGCAGCCCUGGAGGUGGCUGGGGGCCUUUAACAUAGCAGACAAUCACUAACCCUCUGAGACUGAGGCUGUGGCUGAAAAUUAAUUCCUCCGGUCAUCAGUGGCUUUUACACAGAGUCUUUCGUAUAUUGUUUUAAUAGAGGAACGGAGAUGACGUUAGGAGGGAGCAGUGUUUUGUCUGCUCAUAAGGGAGGGGAGACCAAAAGGUUUCCAUUGUCUCAAAUGAAGUUGGCAGUGAGAGUGGUUUACUUGGAUUCUCCCUGCAUAGAGUAAUUUGUAUUAUAUCGAUAACCUGCAUUCAGCCCCACUUGUGUUUGUCUGCGGCAAAAAGAAAUGAUGCCAUAUGGAACCGAGGCCAAGGGGAAUAAAAUUCCAGCCAGACGGUUCAGUGAAUCACCAACUAUGUUGCAUGUGAAGUGUACAUUUGCGUGACUUGUUGUUUAUUGCCCACAUUCGCCUUCGUGACUGUCUUCCGUCUUUGUGCCAAGUCUGAGGCCACGUAACUGAAGCUCUCCAUUUCAUUGGUAGAAAAAUUGACUUGUUUUUCUCCCUUAAAUUCUUCUGCUUCAUUUGACGUCCACUGUGCGGCAUGUCCUGGGACAUGUAUGUUAUAUAAAUGUGCGGCGCAGCCUGUGUGCUGCAUGAAGAAUCAGAAAUGUUACAAUGACAACUGCCAGAUUUUGUAUCCCUCGUCUUCCAGUAAAAUAUUCUCCUGGUUCCAGUAAAAAUAGUCUCAGAUUUAUGGGAAUUAUUGAAUCCUUCAUGUCUUACCUUUAAUUUGAUUCUUCUGUAUCCACGUAGGAGACAACGUAAAUACACAUCAUUUCUUUUUAAUAUUCUUUAGUCAGGAGAAGUGUGCCAUGGAUUUGCCUGAUGUGUGAGCCGGUGGUUUUUUUUUUUUGUUUUUUUGCCUCCUCUCUGUGUACACUCAGUUCUGUUUAUUGAUCUUGCCAAAAGCUGUAACGUCCUACGCAGAGCAUUCAGCGGGUCUUCGUGGUCGUUGAAACUUUUCCACUGCCACUUUUCUUGCCAUUAUAUCAGACAUCAAACAUGUCUGAUACUGUCAUCAUUUUUUAUUUUUUUUUGCUCUGUGCACGAUGUCCCAGACUGGAAUUUACAGUUGUAAAAUGUAAGACAUUGUCUGAUAGCAUGUCAGUCCAAGUCGUAAUCACAUACAGAAAUAUACAGAUGUAUUUUUGGAAAACUGUUUCAAAACUCAAAUUGAUCUGAUAUUUAAGGACACAGCAAACAACAUUAAAUGCGUUAUUUUCAUCCUAAAAGCAGAGAAAACGUUACAUUUUCUUUAGAUUUUACAUUGA